rnacentral:tRNA from 1 species
GGGGAUGUAGCUCAGUGGAAGAGCAAGUGUUCAACUUGUGUGAGUUCCUGGGUUUGAUCCCCAGUUUCCCCA